CCUACGGGGGGCAGCAGUGGGGAAUAUUGCGCAAUGGGCGAAAGCCUGACGCAGCGACGCCGCGUGAGGGAUGAAGGUCCUCGGAUCGUAAACCCCUGUCAGCAGGGAAGCACGGUCACUGUGCUAAUCAGCAGUGAAUUGACGGUACCUGCAAAGGAAGCACCGGCUAACUCCGUGCCAGCAGCCGCGGUAAUACGGAGGGUGCGAGCGGUAAUCGGAAUUACUGGGCGUAAAGCGCUCGUAGGCGGUAUGUCAAGUCAAGGGUGAAAUCCCCGCGCGCAACGUGGGAACUGCCUUUGAAACUGGCGAACUGGAGUGUGAGAGAGGAUAGUGGAAUUCGAGGUGUAGGAGUGAAAUCCGUAGAUAUCUGGCGGAACAUCAGUGGCGAAGGCGACUAUCUGGCACACAACUGACGCUGAGGAGCGAAAGCGUGGGUAGCAAACAGGAUUAGAUACCCGAGUAGUC
rnacentral:rRNA from 1 species